GAUGAAGAACGUAGCAAAAUGCGAUAAGUAAUGUGAAUUGCAGAAUUCAGUGAAUCAUCGAAUCUUUGAACGCACAUUGCGCCCGCCAGUAGUCUGGCGGGCAUGCCUGUUCGAGCGUCAUUUCAACCCUCAAGCACAGCUUGGUGUUGGGACUCGCGUUAAUUCGCGUUCCCCAAAUUGAUUGGCGGUCACGUCGAGCUUCCAUAGCGUAGUAGUAAAACCCUCGUUACUGGUAAUCGUCGCGGCCACGCCGUUAAACCCCAACUUCUGAAUGUUGACCUCGGAUCAGGUAGGAAUACCCGCUGAACUUAAGCAUAUCAAUAAGCGGAGGA
rnacentral:misc_RNA from 1 species